AAUUGGUGUACUGUUGAGUUUGAC
rnacentral:siRNA from 1 species